AGAGUUUGAUCCUGGCUCAGGAUGAACGCUGGCGGCGUGCUUAACACAUGCAGGUCGAACGAGCCUUCGGGCGAGUGGCGGACGGGUGAGUAACGCGUGGGAAUCUGCCCUCAGGAGGGGGAUAACGGCUGGAAACGGCCGCUAAUACCCCAUAUGCCGAGAGGUGAAAUGAAUUUCGCCUGAGGAUGAGCCCGCGUCUGAUUAGCUAGUUGGUGGGGUAAUGGCCCACCAAGGCGACGAUCAGUAGCUGGUCUGAGAGGAUGAUCAGCCACACUGGGACUGAGACACGGCCCAGACUCCUACGGGAGGCAGCAGUGGGGAAUUUUCCGCAAUGGGCGAAAGCCUGACGGAGCAACGCCGCGUGAGGGAUGAAGGCCUCUGGGCUGUAAACCUCUUUUCUCAAGGAAGAAGACAUGACGGUACUUGAGGAAUAAGCCACGGCUAAUUCCGUGCCAGCAGCCGCGGUAAUACGGGAGUGGCAAGCGUUAUCCGGAAUUAUUGGGCGUAAAGCGUCCGCAGGCGGCCUUGUAAGUCUGUCGUUAAAGCGUGGAGCUUAACUCCAUUUCAGCGAUGGAAACUACAAGGCUUGAGUGUGGUAGGGGCAGAGGGAAUCCCCGGUGUAGCGGUGAAAUGCGUAGAUAUCGGGAAGAACACCAGUGGCGAAGGCGCUCUGCUGGGCCAUAACUGACGCUCAUGGACGAAAGCCAGGGGAGCGAAAGGGAUUAGAUACCCCUGUAGUCCUGGCCGUAAACGAUGAACACUAGGUGUCGGGGGAAUCGACCCCCUCGGUGUCGUAGCUAACGCGUUAAGUGUUCCGCCUGGGGAGUACGCACGCAAGUGUGAAACUCAAAGGAAUUGACGGGGGCCCGCACAAGCGGUGGAGUAUGUGGUUUAAUUCGAUGCAACGCGAAGAACCUUACCAGGGUUUGACAUCCUGCGAAUCCCUUGGAAACGAGGGAGUGCCUUCGGGAGCGCAGAGACAGGUGGUGCAUGGCUGUCGUCAGCUCGUGUCGUGAGAUGUUGGGUUAAGUCCCGCAACGAGCGCAACCCACGUCUUUAGUUGCCAGCAUUCAGUUGGGCACUCUAGAGAGACCGCCGGUGAUAAACCGGAGGAAGGUGUGGAUGACGUCAAGUCAUCAUGCCCCUUACAUCCUGGGCUACACACGUACUACAAUGCUACGGACAAAGGGUUGCAAGCUCGCGAGAGUUAGCUAAUCCCAUAAACCGUGGCUCAGUUCAGAUCGUAGGCUGCAACUCGCCUACGUGAAGGAGGAAUCGCUAGUAAUCGCAGGUCAGCAUACUGCGGUGAAUACGUUCCCGGGCCUUGUACACACCGCCCGUCACACCAUGGAAGUUGGCCAUGCCCGAAGUCGUUACUCCAACCCUUGUGGAGGAGGACGCCGAAGGUGGGGCUGAUGACUGGGGUGAAGUCGUAACAAGGUA
rnacentral:rRNA from 1 species